rnacentral:tRNA from 1 species
ACGGCGUUAGUUAAGGGGUAUAACAGUUGCCUUCCAAGCAACAGUGGGGGGUUCGAGUCCCUCACGCCGUA